rnacentral:rRNA from 1 species
UACAGAGGGGGCAAGCGUUAUUCGGAAUUACUGGGCGUACAGCGCGCGCAGGCGGUUUCCUACGUGCCGUGUGACAAACGGGGGCUCAACCCCCGAGGGCCACGGUAAACGGGGCGACUGGAGGUAGGGAGAGGGAUGUGGAAUGCCCGGUGGAGCGGUGAAAUGCGUAGAGAUCCGGAAGAACAUCGGUGGCGAAGGCGGCCUGCUGGGCAGUAGCUGACGCUGAGGCGCGACAGCGUGGGGAGCAAACAGG